rnacentral:rRNA from 1 species
AUUGAACGCUGGCGGCAUGCCUUACACAUGCAAAUCGAACGGUAACGGGCCUUCGGGUGCCGACGAGUGGCGAACGGGUGAGUAAUACAUCGGAACGUGCCCGAUCGUGGGGGAUAACGAGGCGAAAGCUUUGCUAAUACCGCAUACGGUCUACGGAUGAAAGCAGGGGACCGCAAGGCCUUGCGCGGACGGAGCGGCCGAUGGCAGAUUAGGUAGUUGGUGGGAUAAAAGCUUACCAAGCCGACGAUCUGUAGCUGGUCUGAGAGGAUGAUCAGCCACACUGGGACUGAGACACGGCCCAGACUCCUACGGGAGGCAGCAGUGGGGAAUUUUGGACAAUGGGCGCAAGCCUGAUCCAGCCAUGCCGCGUGCAGGAUGAAGGCCUUCGGGUUGUAAACUGAUUUUGUACGGAACGAAAAGCCUUCUUUUAAUACAGAAGGGUCAUGACGGUACCGUAAGAAUAAGCACCGGCUAACUACGUG